rnacentral:tRNA from 1 species
GCCUGAGUGGCGGAACAGGUAGACGCACAGGACUUAAAAUCCUGCGUGGUUAAUCCCACGUGCCAGUUCAAGUCUGGCCUUAGGCACCA